rnacentral:rRNA from 1 species
UAAAAUAAAUUUAUUAAUUAAUUUUUAAAUAAAUAAUUUUAAUUUAAGUAUUUUUUAAAGAAAAAAUAAAAUUUAUGAUAGUUUAUAGUAUUGAAAAAGAAAGUUGAAAUAAUUGAAAAUUAAAUAAUUAAAAAGAAAUUUUUAUUUGAUGUACCUUUUGUAUCAGGGAUUAUUAAAUAAUUUAUAAUUAUUUUUGUAAAUUUCGAAAUAAGAAGAUUUAAUUUAAUAUAAUUUUUAUUGUAACAAAAUUAUUUUAAAUAUUAAAUUGGAAUUUAAAAGUUAAUCGAUUUUUAUUAUAUCUAAUUUUUUAAGAAAUAAAUUAAAUUUAGUUUAUAAUUUUUAUUUAAUUGUUUGUAUAAUUUUAUAAUAAAUUAUAAAUAAUAUAUUAAGGGAUAAGCUUUGAUAUAAUUUUUAUAAAAUUUUAAAUAUUAAUUUAAUUUAUAUAUUCUUAGAAAUAGAAAUUAUAAAUUAAAAUGUUAUAAUUAAAUGAAUUGUAAAUAAUAUUUAUUAAUUUUUAAUUAUUUUAUUAAAAUAUUUAAUUUAAUAAUAAAAUUAAAUUAAUAAUGAUAAUAUUAGUAUAUAAAUAAAUAUUUAGUGUAUAAAUAUUUUCUAUAAUAGAAUUAAAUAUAAAGAAUUCGGCAAAUUUAGUGUUCACCUGUUUAUUAAAAACAUGUCUUUUAGAAUUUAAUUUAAAGUCUAAUCUGCCCACUGAUAAAAUUUAAAGGGCCGCAGUAUAUUAACUGUGCAAAGGUAGCAUAAUCAUUAGUUUUUUAAUUGAAAGCUAGAAUGAAUGAUUGGAUGAAAUAUUUACUGUUUUAUAAUUAUUAAAGUAAAAUUUUAAUUUUUAAUUAAAAAGUUAAAAUAAUAUAAAAAGACGAGAAGACCCUAUAGAUUUUUAUAUAUUAAGUAAUUUAAUAAAAAUAAGAUAAUUUUUUUUUUUAAGUUAUUAAUAUAUUUUAUUGGGGUAAUAAUAAAAUUUUAAUAAUUUUUAAUUUUUAAAUUCAAUAAUAUUUGUUUUUUUGAUCCAUUAAUAUUGAUUAUAAAGUUAAGUUACCUUAGGGAUAACAGCGUAAUGAUUUUUGAGAGUUCUUAUCAAUAAAAUAGUUUGUGACCUCGAUGUUGAAUUAAAAUUUAUUUUAGGUGUAGGUGUUUAAUAAAUAAAGUCUGUUCGACUUUUAAUUUUUUACAUGAUUUGAGUUUAGACCGGCGUAAGCCAGGUCAGUUUCUAUCUUUUAUUUAUAAAAAUAUUUUAGUACGAAAGGAUUAAAUAUUUAAUUAAUUUAAUUAAAAUUAAAUAGAAUAAUAAUAAUUUAAAUUAUAAUA